rnacentral:misc_RNA from 1 species
GUUAUUGUGUGUGCUGAAGUAUCAGUCGUCCUUACCUACAUGCAUCUCUGUGUGGAAGAUUGGCGGUGGUGGUGGAAGGCUUUCUUUGCUUCUGGUUCCGUUGCUCUUUACGUCUUCCUUUAUUCCAUCCACUACUUGGUCUUUGAGCUGCAGAGUUUGAGCGGACCGGUCUCGGCUAUUCUUUAUCUCGGUUAUUCAUUGAUCAUGGCAACGGCAAUUAUGUUAUCAACUGGCACCAUCGGC